rnacentral:rRNA from 1 species
GAUGAACGCUAGCGGCAGGCCUAAUACAUGCAAGUCGAACGGUCCACUUCGGUGGAUAGUGGCGCACGGGUGCGUAACACGUAUGCAACCUACCUUACAUUGGGGGAUAGCCUUUCGAAAGGGAGAUUAAUACCGCAUAAGACAGUAACCUGGCAUCAUGUAGCUGUUAAAGAUUUAUCGAUGUAAGCUGGGCAUGCGUCCAAUUAGUUAGUUGGUGAGGUAAUGGCUCACCAAGACGAUGAUUGGUAGGGGAACUGAGAGGUCAAUCCCCCACCCUGGCACUGAGAUACGGGCCAGACUCCUACGGGAGGCAGCAGUAGGGAAUAUUGGGCAAUGGACGCAAGUCUGACCCAGCCAUGCCGCGUGCAGGAAGAAGGCGUUCUGCGUUGUAAACUGCUUUUAUAUAGGAAGAAACGACCCUUGCGAGGGGCAUUGACGGUAUUAUAUGAAUAAGCACCGGCUAACUCCGUGCCAGCCGCCGCAGUAAUAC